rnacentral:rRNA from 1 species
UACGAAAGGGGCUAGCGUUGUUCGGAAUUACUGGGCGUAAAGCGCACGUAGGCGGCUUGGUAAGUUGGGGGUGAAAUCCCAGGGCUCAACCCUGGAACUGCCUCCAAAACUGCUAGGCUAGAGGAUGCGAGAGGUUGGCGGAAUUCCGAGUGUAGAGGUGAAAUUCGUAGAGAUUCGGAAGAACACCAGUGGCGAAGGCGGCCAACUGGCGCAUUGCUGACGCUGAGGUGCGAAAGAGUGGGGAGCAAACAGG